GGCGAUUCGCUGAAAAGAUGUCUGCUCGGGUGUAAUGGGAGCCUUUUUCUUAUGCAUGUAUUUGUUUCCUGCACACAAAUUCAGUUCUCUUUGUGGAAUUUCGAAUUAUUUUGGUGCUCUGGUUUUGCAUACUAGGGAUGAAAAGUGAGUUCAAUACUUCAAAUGCUAAAUUGUUGCGUAUGUCAUGUGCUCGAUGGAGUGGGACUGCCGGUGUGACAAGUUGAAGAACAACAUUCUUGGAAUUGAAAAAUUAUCCCGCGGUAUUUCUUGAAGCCCAAGGUUGCAAUGAAGCCUUUUACGGAAUAGUUGGAGCAAAUUAUUACAGCUAAAAUUCUUGCAUCUGCAAGUGGCAUUCCAUCAUCUGCUGAAAUUGAUUGAGAUAUAUUCCUUAAUCCCAAUUGUUCUGCAGUGUGAGACAAUUUAUUCAUGCCGGCACAUUAUUGCUUGCAUCGGUCUAAUAGUCUAUGGGUGGCCCUCAUGAUGUCAUGAGAAAAUUUACUUAUUUGUUGAUCUUGGGUUCAAUCUAUUUUAUCUAUUUAGUAGUUUUGGUUCAAAGCUUUAUUCUUCUAUUAUUUCAGGGACAAUUUCUCUAUUAGCCUAUUUAGUCAUUCUCAAAGAAGUUGACCCUAGCACGUGCUCCUAGGCACUAUGCGAGAGUGAAUGGUGGGCCAUGCACUAAUAAAGUAGUACAAUUUUAUAGCUCACUAUUAUACUUGUUUGCUCUAAGAUGACUAUAGAUGAUAUGGCACUUAGCUUAUAGCCAACAGUUGACUCUACUAAUGAACUUUGAUGAGAUGCCAAUAUCUGUGAUUUUUUUUAUGAUAGAAGUCCGUGCCGGCCGAAAGUUGACUCUACCAUCUCAUCAAAGAAUACUAUUUAGCUCAUAGGUGACAUGGCACAAUAUCUGUGAUUUUUUUUGUUCUUCAAUAGAUGGACCAUGUCCGCUCAAAGUCAGAGGUUUAUCACGAGCAUGACAUAGGAUUUUGGGCACGCAAGAGUUAAAACAAAUCAGGCAACAAAAGCUAAUUCAAGAAGCCAUUGACAAUUGGUGAGACUGUCUACCUUAUUUGCUAAGUAUUUGUCGACUAUCGUAGCAUAUAUACCUACUGAAUGUGUUUGCUGCAAUUAGUGACGAACAAUACGAGUGGUCUGUUUCUCAUUGGAGCAGGUUGCAUUUAUGCAUCUAAACUUUAUUUAUCAAUCCUACCUUCCUCCCAUGAUGAUAAAUGAGCUCUUCUAGCAAACAAUUUGUAGAACUAAGUUGUCAAUUUAAAACACAAUCUCUGAUCAAUAUGGUAAUGUAGCAGCACUUCACAGUCGUGAUUGCAGUGUGCAAUCACGAGAUCACUAGGUAUGGUGCUCCAGAUUGAAAUCAUCAGUUUUAUUACCGGUCUGCUUAAUUACCUAUAGUUUUUUGAUCAACCUUGUACAUUCUUCAUCUGGUAUAGAGUAGUUGACAUUUUUCUUGGAUAUUCUGUAGUUGUUUUACUCAAAAUUAGCAUGCAUAUGCUGCAGACUGAAUGACUGAAUGUUGGCCCUAUGAAUGACCCUGCACUACCCAUUUUAAAAACUUCACAAUGCUGAACAGAGUUUAGGAUAACAUCAUAAUAGAUUUUCCCAGCCUAAGUUGACCCAAGCCUAUCACAAACAGGGGCAUAUGUUUUUAGAUCCAAAACAUGGCAUUGUUUCUGUUUAGGAAGCACACAUCAAACAGUCUAUUUACUACAGUAUGUCUAAAUGAGUACAGUGACCAUGGUAUCUGAGUAUUUUAUCUUGUAUCUGAUAAAUUGUUGAUCAAACGGUAUGCAUUGUUUAUAAAUUUUUAGUUUCGUCAAGAAGCUACAGUAGGAAUAACUACUGUUUCCAACAAGGGCGGCUCUGACCUCCCAGAUUCCUGUCAGCGGCCCGUUGUGGUGCCCGGCGAUCUUCUCACCGUCUCGAUCGCCACGGCCGCUGCCGCACCAACAUCACUACUCCCGGCCAUCUCCACUUGGCUGAGGUCUUGGACGAUGCUGAGCCUAGGCAGCAGUCCUGGUUCAUCGGCUGGAGGACUGCCUCCACAGACUCGUGGUCCAAAGCCACAAGGUGGCCUCACAGCGCACGGAUGGAAAUUCCCAGUUGAAGACAAGGUACAUCCUUAUCCCCAUCCCCUUUGCUUAAUAGAUCUGGACUGGAGAAUUAAAUCAAAAUUAUCUAGACCAAAUAGCUGG